UAUCGGACUUUUGUAAAUAAUUAAUUCGCGCGCGAUUGUAAUAUAAUGUCGCAAGUGUUUUUACGAAUGUUUAAUGGGAAAAGAAGGAAGAGGAGACCUGACAAUCAAAAUGUCUUGAGAGGAGAAGAAGGAGACGGCCUAGGACAGGCAUCGAGCCCGGGUGCAGCAAUGUUUUGGUAUCAUCGUAGUUUCGUGACAAAGCAACAACUCAAAAGUUCUGAGUGGUGGAAAAGAAGGCCGGAGAGGCAUCCGGCUCAGGCGGAGCAACCUUGGGUAAUCAUUGCAGCUUUGUGGCAGAAUUAUUCCGCUCGUUGCGCAUCGGAUCGAUAUUUCUCGGCGUGAGAGGGGCAAAGAGAAGACAACAUCCAUCGUCGCUGAAUUAUUAUAAAAUAAACGAACCGUAGCCGGUUCGUCGCGUCGCGCGUUUGUUGCGGGAGUGCCGUUUAAAGUAACUGGACUAAUGGAUUUAAUUAGUCCACGGGAGCGAUUUUAAUAUAUUAUUUGCGAGUGUUUCGCGAGUGCAACAGGACGAGGAGACAUCCGGUUCUGAGAGGAGGAGGAGGCCUGGGAGAGGCAUCGGGCUUCAGCGGAGCAACCUUGGGUAUCACCGCAGCUUCGUGGCUGAAUAACUCCGCUCGUUGCGCAUCGGAUCAGUGAGUCACAUAUCAACUUUCUUAUUAUAUUUUAAUGUUGUGCAAUUGUUUUCUGCACAGGAUCAAAAAAUAGAACAUUAAAAAAAGAGUUUAGUAAUAGCUGCCAAAUGAUGAAUAAUAUAAAAUUAAAUAAUUAAAUAUUUGGUUAUAAUAUAAUACAAAAUAUUUUUACAUUUUGAAAUAUUUUGUAAAUAUUACGAAAUAUAAUAGUAUUCGCUACAUAUUCAGAAAAGUAAAAUUAUUUUUUAUAUUAAUCAAAUGUUUAAUUGAUAUUAUUUCACUCAGCGUUUAGUAGCUAUUACUCUUUUUCAGUGAACUCGAACAAUUUAUCUUUUUAAUUUUAAGGGGAAAUCAAGUACCCAAUCGCGCGCGAUCGGGAGUGCCGUGUAAAGUAUCAUCGCGCGAUCGUAACCAUAUUUUUGCAAGUGAGUGAGUGCAUUAAUUUGUGAUGAUUUGAUAAGAAGAGGAGAAGGCCUGGGAGAUAACUUUGAGGUGAGUAAUACUUGCAACAUAUACAAAGUUUAUAAUAUAUAACCUAUCUAAUCAACUCAAUCGCAUGUUACAGAUAUUUCUCGGGAUAAGUAUCGAUAAGAGGAAGCCAACGUCCAUCGUCGUGGAUUAUUACAAAAUAAACGAACCCUAGCCGGUUCGUCGCGUCGCGCGUUUGUUUCGGGAGUGUCAUUUAAAUUAGUUCACGGGCGCAAUUUUAGUACGUUAUUCGUGAGUGUACCGCGAGUGCGAGAUAAGGAGGCUCGACAACUCGGAUCUGAGAAGAGAAAGAGGCCUGGGAGGCAUCGUGCAUCGGCGUAUCAAUCUCUCGAUUAACGUCGCAGGAUCUGAGAGGAGGAAGAGGCCUGGGAGAGGCAUCGGGCUUCAGCGAAGCAACCUUGGGUAUCACCGCAGCUUCGUGGCUGAAUAACUUCGCUCGUUGCGCAUCGGAUCGGUGAGUUAUACAUCAAUUUUCUUAUUAUAUGUAUUUCAAUGUUGUGCAAAUCUCCUCUGCGCAGAAAUAAGAAAUAGGAUAAUAAUGACAUAUAAUAAGUCAUAAAAUUAGUAUUGUAUUUUGAGCUAUUUAAAAUUUAAGUUACACAAACUUUCAUAACAUUGUAUUUAAAAGUAUCUUGUCGAUAGUAGAGCGCGAGUUAGUAGAGUUUAAAAAAUGUUAAGGUAGAGAAACGGAAUAAAAAGCUGGAUUUAUCAAAAUAUAUUUAAUACAAAAUAACAAUAAGCGAAAACACAAUCAUUCGUGAAUAAAUAAAAUUUUUCCUUUAUAUACAAUAAAUUUCGCCAUGUUAUUCGCCAUUACUCUGCAGUUCAGGAUAUUAUCAUUUUAUAUUUGUCUAUUUCGCAGAAAUUAUCUCAUUUCUAAUUAUACGAGUAUUAGAAGCAUCAU